rnacentral:rRNA from 1 species
UACGAACUGUGCGAACGUUAUUCGGAAUCACUGGGCUUACAGGGUGCGUAGGCGGCUAUUCAGGUCAGGUGUGAAAGCCCCCGGCUCAACCGGGGAACUGCGCUUGAAACCGAGUGGCUCGAGUCAGCUAGAGGUACACGGAACUUCCAGUGGAGCGGUGAAAUGCGUAGAUAUCGGGAGGAACACCUGUGGCGAAGGCGGCCACCUGGUUGGAUACUGACGCUGAGACGCGAAAGCGUGGGGAGCAAACAGA